rnacentral:tRNA from 1 species
UGCGGGGUCGUCUAAUGGUAGGACGCCUGACUCUGGAUCAGGAAGUUGGGGUUCGAAUCCCUGCCCCGCAGCCU